AACGAACGCUGGCGGCUUGCCUAACACAUGCGAGUCGAACGAGACCUUCGGGUCUAGUGGCGCACGGGUGCGUAACGCGUGGGAACCUGCCCUUAGGUUCGGAAUAACUCCCCGAAAGGGGUGCUAAUACCGGAUAAUGUCUUCGGACCAAAGAUUUAUCGCCUUUGGAUGGGCCCGCGUUGGAUUAGCUAGUUGGUAGGGUAAAAGCCUACCAAGGCGACGAUCCAUAGCUGGUCUGAGAGGAUGAUCAGCCACACUGGGACUGAGACACGGCCCAGACUCCUACGGGAGGAAGCAGUGGGGAAUAUUGGACAAUGGGCGAAAGCCUGAUCCAGCAAUGCCGCGUGAGUGAUGAAGGCCUUAGGGUUGUAAAGCUCUUUUAACCGGGAUGAUAAUGACAGUACCGGGAGAAUAAGCUCCGGCUAACUCCGUG
rnacentral:rRNA from 1 species